GAAGGUGGAAGGUGGAAGGUGAAGCCUUCCUUACUGUGUGUCUGAGGGAUCUCCUCACCUUUCAGCAACAGUGUUUCAGGUUUCUACCUGUCUGUCCAUCUGUCUCAGGGUGCUCUGAGACAGAUGACCUUUUUGAUGGGUGACCCCGACGCAGCCAGACACCACUGUAACCUCCACCUCCCUAUGUGUGACGGACCGGCCCCCAAAGCUCCACGCUCCCCAAGAACACCCCACACACACCAGAAUGCCGAGUUGUCCUCUGGUGACCUGCUAGAUGACUUGACAAACAGUACAGGGAGUUCCAGAGAGAGUUCCACAGAUAAAGGGGAUGCUGUCAUGGAUCCCUCCCUCCCAGAAGGCAAGUCUCCUAUCUCCCAGCACGCAGCCACCCUACAACAACAAGGGAAUGGGUUUGUGGGAGUUGAUGAGGCAGACCCCUCUAUCCUAACCCGACACCACACGGAUACAGGUGCCCGUGGCAGCAAUUCCCCCUAUACAGUCACUGCAUUGGAUGAGAACAUCACCACAGAUGCAGAAGAUAGACCACAACAUGACAUCAUCGACCUGGACUCCCCCGGCCCCUCCCCCAGCUUCCAAAGGAAAGGCUCUGACCAGAAGAGCCCAUCCCAGUCUGGUCACCCUGACUCCAGUGUGCUCAUGGAGGUGAACCUGUUGCCUCCUGCGGGGUCAGCAGUGGAGCAGGGAAGAAUUAGUAGUGGCUCUCUCACACAGAGGAGCCAGGGGAACAGUGAGGGGGUCGGACAGGCUGGUUCUGACCACACAGGCUUGCUGACAGUGGCACCCAGUGAGGGUGAUGUCAUAGUCGGAUCUGCCAACAAGAUUUACAGGCUCCUGAGUGGCCCUCCAGGGCCAGUUGGCCCUCCAGGAGAACAAGUAAGAAUCUCUUAGGGACAGUUUUUAGAGUUAGAAAUGCUCAUAGAGAUAUUUGUUUUCAAAACUCAGAUCCUUUAAAUAUCACCAGGACUUAGAAUCAAAGACAGAAUCAAAGUCAGUGAUUUCAUAAAACCAAAGUGAUUUUCUGAACACAUGAUUUUACAGAGAUAGGAAGCAGAAUAAACUGACAUAUGAGUGGGUGUCUUAGAAUAGAGAAUAGUCAUCCAUUUGUUCCUCCUGAGAAGUACUGUAUGUCUUCACGGGUUUAUUCAGCUAUGGUUUUCUUGUAAAACAAUGAUAUCUUUGUCUCUAUUGGAAAAUGAAAACAUCAGUGGUUUAAUAACUGUCUUUAAUUUGAAUUCAAAUAUUCCCCACUGCAGCUCACGUAAUGCAAAAAAAACCUCCCUUUAAUCUUUUGAUUUUUUAUUGCUUAUAAUUACAGGUUACGGAAAUACUGUACAAACGUUGUGGUUAAAUAUACCCAUAUGACAUGGACACAGACUGAUUCAUAUGCAUUCUACAAAAUUACAGGAGAGAAAAUAAACAUCUCAAAAAGAUGUGGCAGUAAUAUGCUACUGCAGACCAAAAUGUACACUUUGCCACUGUUGCAUCAUCUUUAAGUUCUAUUGCCAAACCGUGAUCUUUGCCUGUUGUUCCAGUAUUAUUAUAACUUCCUGUAAAUAUCUGUCCCUAUGUUCACCACAUUGUCGUGUUUACAGGGAUGUGCAGGCAAAGAAGGCUAUAUUGGGUUCAAGGGAGACAUGGUAAGGGAAUAGAUCACUGGUGAAAUAAUUGUUUUGAAAAUGUUUCAGUAAUGCUGCUGAAUGAUGAGUAAACCCCAAAUGACUUAUGGAUGUAAUUUUUAUGGUAAGUACAGUAUGUGAAUGAGUUUUUUCAGUGUGUGUGUUGGUUCUAUACAGAUGAAGGAUCUUAAUUUCAGCCCAUUUUCUACAGCAGUAAAAUAAUCCUGCAGCAACAGGAAAUUUGAAUUAUUAUGUGGAUUAUAAUCAAUUAAGAUUUUUGUAGGGGUUGAUACGUUUUUCGUAAGGGAAAAUCGUCUAAAGUUUCAAAGUGGAAAUUACAAACUUCAGAAGCCUUUUUAAACCUCAAAUACAGUUUUAUCAUUCCUGCAUUGCAGAACAGUUCUGCAACAGGGUGAUGAAAUUAAGAUGCUACAUCUGUACCUGUUGGGACUUGUACUUUGUUGAUCACAGUGGUGUAAAGUACUAAAGUAAAAAUACUUUAAAGUUCUACUUAAGUAGUUUUUUGGGGUGUCUGUACAUUACUUUAUUAUUUAUAUAUUUUAAAACUUUAACUUUUACUUCACUACUUACCUAAGGAAAAUAAUGUACUUUUUACUCCAUACAUUUUACCUGACACCCAAAAGUACUCAUUACAUUUUGCAUGGCUAGCAGGACAGGAAAAUGGUCCAAUUCACACACUUAUCAAGAGAACACCCUGGUCAUCCCUACUGCCUCUGAUCUGGCGGACUCACUAAACACAAAUGCUUUGUUUGUAAAUUAUGUCUGAGUGUUGGCGUGUGCCCCUGGCUAUCCAUAAAAAAUAUAUAAAAGAAAAUGAUGCCGUCGGGUUUGUUUAACAUAAGGAAUUUGAAAUUAUUUAUACGUUUACUUUCAAUACUUAAGUAUAGUUUAGCAAUUACAUUGACUUUUGAUACUUAAGUAUAUUUAAAACCAAAUACUAUUUAAAUACUUUUUCUCAAGUAGUAUUUCACUGUGUGACUUUCACUUUUACUUGAGUAAUAAUCUAUUAAGAUAUCUUUACUUUUGAUCAAGUAUUACAAUUGGGUACUUUUUCCACCUGGUUGACCAUCACUCACUGUCAUAGACUGCUCUCUUAUCUCUGCUUUCCUAGGGAUCUCAGGGUGUCAGAGGGCAGGAGGGCAGGAGAGGUGAGACAGGCCUCCCAGGUCCUCCAGGCCUACCCACCCUUUACCUGUGGAGGAACUCCCAGGAGGAUUGGACUGACUUCAGGGUGAGAUCUGUUCUGUCUGUCCAGUGUCCACCCAUAUCACAGCAGCCUGCCUGGGAGUAUUAUAAAACUUAAUGUAACAAUGCAGUUUUUGUGUAUGUGCUGUGUUGUCAAAGAAUAACUUGAUCUCCCAGUUCACCUGGAUAUGCUUUUGGAGGCUAUACAGUAGAGCAGCAGCCACCGCCGCCCACUGCCCUGGUUCAAAUCAAAUCAAGUUGUAUUUGUCACAUGCGCCGGAUACAACAGGUGUAGGACCUUACCGUGAAAUGCAUACUUACAAGCCCUUAACCAACAAUGCAGUUCAAGAAAUAGAGUUAAGAAAAUAUUUACUAAAUAAACUAAAGCAAAUUUUAAAAUAAAAUCAAUCAAAAAGUAACACAAGAAAUGUAUACUGCUCAAAAAAAUAAAGGGAACACUUAAACAACACAUCCUAGAUCUGAAUGAAAGAAAUAAUCUUAUUAAAUACUUUGUUUACAUAGUUGAAUGUGCUGACAACAAAAUCCCACAAAAAUAAUCAAUGGAAAUCCAAUUUAUCAACCCAUGGAGGUCUGGAUUUGGAGUCACACUCAAAAUUAAAGUGGAAAACUACACUACAGGCUGAUCCAACUUUGAUGUAAUGUCCUUAAAACAAGUCAAAAUGAGGCUCAGUAGUGUGUGUGGCCUCCACGUGCCUGUAUGACCUCCCUACAAUGCCUGGGCAUGCUCCUGAUGAGGUGGCGGAUGGUCUCCUGAGGGAUCUCCUCCCAGACCUGGACUAAAGCAUCCGCCAACUCCUGGACAGUCUGUGGUGCAAAGUGGUGUUGGUGGAUGGAGCAAGACAUGAUGUCC
rnacentral:lncRNA from 8 species